rnacentral:rRNA from 1 species
GACGAACGCUGGCGGCGUGCUUAACACAUGCAAGUCGAACGGAAAGGCCCUGCUUUUGUGGGGUGCUCGAGUGGCGAACGGGUGAGUAACACGUGAGUAACCUGCCCUGGACUUUGGGAUAACUUCAGGAAACUGGGGCUAAUACCGGAUAGGAGCUCCUGCUGCAUGGUGGGGGUUGGAAAGUUUCGGCGGUUGGGGAUGGACUCGCGGCUUAUCAGCUUGUUGGUGGGGUAGUGGCUUACCAAGGCUUUGACGGGUAGCCGGCCUGAGGGGGUGACCGGCCACAUUGGGACUGAGAUACGGCCCAGACUCCUACGGGAGGCAGCAGUGGGGAAUAUUGCACAAUGGGCGGAAGCCUGAUGCAGCAACGCCGCGUGCGGGAUGACGGCCUUCGGGUUGUAAACCGCUUUCGCCUGUGACGAAGCGUGAGUGACGGUAAUGGGUAAAGAAGCACCGGCUAACUACGUG